GACGAACGCUGGCGGCGUGCUUAACACAUGCAAGUCGAGCGGUAAGGCCCUUUCGGGGGUACACGAGCGGCGAACGGGUGAGUAACACGUGGGUGACCUGCCCUCAGCUCUGGGAUAAGCCUGGGAAACCGGGUCUAAUACUGGAUAUGACUCCAUGACGCAUGUUGUGGGGUGGAAAGCCUUGUGCGGCUGAGGAUGGGCCCGCGGCCUAUCAGCUUGUUGGUGGGGUGANGGCCUACCAAGGCGACGACGGGUAGCCGGCCUGAGAGGGCGACCGGCCACACUGGGACUGAGACACGGCCCAGACUCCUACGGGAGGCAGCAGUGGGGAAUCUUGCGCAAUGGGCGAAAGCCUGACGCAGC
rnacentral:rRNA from 1 species